AUUGAACGCUGGCGGCAUGCUUUACACAUGCAAGUCGAACGGCAGCGCGGGCUUCGGCCUGGCGGCGAGUGGCGAACGGGUGAGUAAUGCAUCGGAACGUGCCCAGUAGUGGGGGAUAGCCCGGCGAAAGCCGGAUUAAUACCGCAUACGACCUGAGGGUGAAAGCGGGGGACCGAAAGGCCUCGCGCUAUUGGAGCGGCCGAUGUCGGAUUAGCUAGUUGGUGGGGUAAAGGCUUACCAAGGCGACGAUCCGUAGCUGGUCUGAGAGGACGACCAGCCACACUGGGACUGAGACACGGCCCAGACUCCUACGGGAGGCAGCAGUGGGGAAUUUUGGACAAUGGGGGCAACCCUGAUCCAGCCAUGCCGCGUGCGGGAAGAAGGCCUCGGGUUGUAAACCGCUUUUGUUCGGGAAGAAAUCCUCUGGGCUAAUACCCCGGGGGGAUGACGGUACCGGAAGAAUAAGCACCGGCUAACUACGUG
rnacentral:rRNA from 1 species